AUGUUUUGGCGGAUGAGAAGACGAUUUUCAGCAGUGAUUCAGAGUUGAGUACGCAAUACUUUGCGCAGCAGCAAGGCGGCAAGCGAAGGAAAGGAAGGAGCAUACAGAAGUAUGUGACUGAGUUUACGAGCGCAGGCAACGCCGCUGAUGCGAUAAAGAAUUGCGUACAGAGCACAAAG
rnacentral:misc_RNA from 2 species